UCUUCUCCACUGUCUUCCUUUGAAGUCGCCGCGGUCCGUUGAAGUCGUCGUCGUCGUCGAUCAUUCGCCGUCAAUCAGAUUUACCGAAGAGUCUUCGAUUUCAUUUCACCAUUAUCAUCAAUUUGUUUUGCUUCUCUCUCUAUCUCCGGCCAAGGAAUCAAUUUGAAUGAAGUUGUAUUGGAGUUUUAAACUCGAUGCAGUAGUAAUUAAUAUACUUUGCAUAAUUCUGAUAUUCAUGUUUUCCAGCUAUUGAUGUUCGCUAGGUCAUUAGUUCAUUUGAUUUAUUAUUCUCUUGUUUAUGAUUAUAUGCGAUGACGCUGAGUUAUGUUGUAUUGGAAUUGUAAACUCGGUGAAGUAGGAAUAUAGUUUUUGCAACUAUUGAUCGUUCGUAUUCAUGUUUUCCAACUAUUGCUGUUUGCUAGCUAGAUCAUUGAUUCAUUUCGUUGUGAUUUCGGUUUUAUUCUCUUGCUUAUGAUUAUGUUGUGC